rnacentral:tRNA from 1 species
GCUUUAAUAGUUUAAAAAAACAUUGGUCUUGUAAACCAAAAUUGAAUAUGUACUUCUUAAAGCU